GCGCCCGUAGCUCAGUUGGAUAGAGCAGCCGCCUUCUAAGCGGCAGGUCAGAGGUUCGAAUCCUCUCGGGCGCACCA
rnacentral:tRNA from 1 species